rnacentral:rRNA from 1 species
UGGGGAAUAUUGCACAAUGGGGGAAACCCUGAUGCAGCGACGCCGCGUGAACGAAGAAGGCAUUCGUAUCGUAAAGUUCUGUCCUAUGGGAAGAUAAUGACAGUACCAUAGAAGAAAGCUCCGGCUAAAUACGUGCCAGCAGCCGCGGUAAUACGUAUGGAGCGAGCGUUGUCCGGAAUUAUUGGGCGUAAAGGGUACGCAGGCGGUUUAAUAAGUCGAAUGUUAAAGAACGGGGCUCAACCCCGUAAAGCAUUGGAAACUGAUAAACUUGAGUAGUGGAGAGGAAAGUGGAAUUCCUAGUGUAGUGGUGAAAUACGUAGAUAUUAGGAGGAAUACCAGUAGCGAAGGCGACUUUCUGGACACAAACUGACGCUGAGGUACGAAAGCGUGGGGAGCAAACAGG